AUCCCAGGUAUUUCUCUUUGAUUCUUCAUGUGGAGAAGGAAAGUUUCCACUCUAUUGUGGAUGCUGCUAGAAAGAUGGAGGCCAGUGCCAUAAGUCAAGGUGUAGUCAAGGCACAGUCUUCUGGUGUUAAACCCGGUUCCUCCUCACAGAGUACAGCAAGUGCAAGUAAGAAGAGAUGGGAGAAGUUCAGAGGAAAGAGAGG
rnacentral:lncRNA from 1 species